GAUGAAGAACGUAGCGAAAUGCGAUAAGUAAUGUGAAUUGCAGAAUUCAGUGAAUCAUCGAAUCUUUGAACGCACAUUGCGCCCGCCAGUAUUCUGGCGGGCAUGCCUGUUCGAGCGUCAUUUCAACCCUCAGGCCCCGCCUGGCGUUGGGGAUCGGCGCGGCCCUCUCCGGGCUGCCGGCCCCGAAAACUAGUGGCGGUCUCGCUGUAGUCCUCCUCUGCGCAGUAGCAACGCUCGCACUGGAACUCGGCGCGGCCACGCCGUAAAACACCCCACUUCUGAAUGUUGACCUCGAAUCAGGUAGGAAUACCCGCUGAACUUAAGCAUAUCAAUAAGCGGAGGA
rnacentral:misc_RNA from 1 species